rnacentral:lncRNA from 1 species
CGCCCCAUUCCGAGUCCGGCGGACGAACUUCGCCCGCGCCCCCCGCCAAGGCUAUAGCCCACCCGUUUUUUGGCCAUUUUUCCGCUGGGGGGUUUUGGCACCACGACCUUCGGGCGCUUAUUUUUCGGCGCGGCUGGUCCCGCGACUUCCCGCGGGCACCCCAAGGCCCCUCGCAAAGUCUCGCCCCAUUCCGAGUCCGGCGGACGAGCUUCGCCCGCGCCCCCCACCAAGGCUAUAGCCCACCCGUUUUUGGCCAUUUUUCCGCUGGGGGGUUUUGGCACCAUGACCUUCGGGCGCUUAUUUUUCGGCGCAGCUGUGCCCGCGACUUCCCGCCGGCACCCCGAGGCCCCUCGCAAAGUCUCGCCCCAUUCCGAGUCCGGCGGACGAACUUCGCCCGCGCCCCCCACCAAGGCUAUAGCCCACCCGUUUUUUGCCCAUUUUUCCGCCGGGGGGUUUUGGCACCACGACCAUCGGGCGCUUAUUUUUGGGUGCGGCUUUCCCCGCGGCUUAUUUUUGGCACCCCGAGGCCCCUCGCAAAGUCUCGCCCCAUUCCGAGUCCGGCGGACGAACUUCGCCCGCGCCCCCCACCAAGGCUAUAGCCCACCCGUUUUUUGCCCAUUUUUCCGCCGGGGGGUUUUGGCACCACGACCAUCGGGCGCUUAUUUUUGGGCACGGCUAUGCCCGCGGCUUAGUUUUGGCGCCCUGAGGCCCCUCGCAAGGUCUCACCCCAUUCCGAGUCCGGCGGACGAACUUCGCCCGCGCCCCCCACCAAGGCUAUAGCCGACCCGUUUUUUGGCCAUUUUUCCGCUGGGGGGUUUUGGCACCACGACCUUCGGGCACUUAUUUUUGGGUGUGGCUUUGCCCGCGGCUUAUUUUUGGCGCCCCGAGGCCCCUCGCAAAGUCUUGCCCCAUUCCGAGUCCGGCGGACGAACUUCGCCCGCGCCCCCCACCAAGGCUAUAGCCCACCCGUUUUUUGGCCAUUUUUCCGCUGGGGGGUUUUGGCACCACGACCUUUGGGCGCUUAUUUUUGGGCGCGGCUUUGCCCGCGGCUUAUUUUUGGCAUCCCGAGGCCCCUCGCAAAGUCUCGCCCCAUUCCGAGUCCAGCGGACGAACCUCGCCCACGCCCCCCACCAAGGCUAUAACCCACCCGUUUUUGGCCAUUUUUCCGCUGGGGGGUUUUGGCACCACGACCAUCGGACGCUUAUUUUUGGGCGCGGCUUUGCCCGCGGCUUAUUUCUGGCGCCCCGAGGCCCCUCGCAAAGUCUCGCCCCAUUCCGAGUCCGGCGGACGAACUUCGCCCGCGCCCCCCACCAAGGCUAUAGCCCACCCGUUUUUUGGCCAUUUUUCCGCUGGGGGGUUUGGCACCACGACCUUCUGGCGCUUAUUUUUGGAGCCCGCAGGCCCCUCGCAAAAUCACGGCCCAUUCCGAGUCCGGAGGACGAACUUCACCCGCGCCCCCCACCAAGGCUAUAGCCCACCCGUUUUUUGGCCAUUUUUCCGCUGGGGGGUUUUGGCACCACGACCUUCUGGCGCUUAUUUUUGGGCGCGGCCUUGCCCGCGGCCUAUUUUUGGCGCCCCGAGGCCCCUAGCAAAGUCUCGCCCCAUUCCGAGUCCGGCGGACGAACUUCGCCGGCGCCCCCCACCAAGGCUAUAGCCCACCCGUUUUUUUGCCAUUUUUCCGCUGGGGGGUUUUGGCACCACUACCUUCGGGCGCUUAUUUUUGGGCGCGGCUUUGCCCGCGGCUUAUUUUUGGUGCCCCGAGGCCCCUCGCAAAGUCUCGCCCCAUUCCGAGUCCGGCGGACGAACUUCGCCCGCGCCCCCCACCAAGGCUAUAGCCCACCCAUUUUUUGGCCAUUUUUCCGCUGGGGGGUUUUGGCACCACGACCAUCGGGCGCUUAUUUUUGGGCGCAGCUUUGCCCGCGGCUUAUUUUUGGCGCCCCGAGGCCCCUCGCAAAGUCUCGCCCCAUUCCGAGUCCGACGGACGAACUUCGCCCGCGCCCCCCACCAAGGCUAUGGCCCACCCGUUUUUUGGCCAUUUUUCCGCUGGGGGGUUUUGGCACCACUACCUUCGGGUGCUUAUUUUUGGGUGCGGCUUUGCCCGCGGCUUAUUUUUGGCGCCCCGAGGCCCCUCGCAAAGUCUCGCCCCAUUCCGAGUCCGGCGGACGAACUUCGCCCGCGCCCCCCACCAAGGCUAUAGCCCACCCGUUUUUUGGCCAUUUUUCCGCUGGGGGGUUUUGGCACCACGACCUUCGGGCGCUUAUUUUUGGUCGCGGCUUUCCCCGCGGCUUAUUUUUGGUGCCCCGGGGCCCCUCGCAACGUCUCGCCCCAUUCCGAGUCCGGCGGACGAACUUCGCCCGCGCCCCCCACCAAGGCUAUAGCCCACCCGUUUUUUGGACAUUUUUCCGCUGGGGGGUUUUGGCACCACGACCUUCGGGCACUUAUUUUUGGGCGCGGCUUUGCCCGCGGCUUAUUUUUGGCACCCCGAGGCCCCUCGCAAAGUCUCGCCCAAUUCCGAGUCCGGCGGACGAACUUCGCCCGCGCCCCCCACCAAGGCUAUAGCCCACCCGUUUUUUGGCCAUUUUUCCGCUGGGGGGUUUUGGCACCACGACCUUCGGGCGCUUGUUUUUGGGCGCGGCUGCGCCCGCGACUUCCCGCGGGCACCCCGAGGCCCCUCGCAAAGUCUCGCCCCAUUCCGAGUCCGGCGGACGAACUUCGCCCGCGCCCCCCACCAAGGCUAUAGCCUACCCGUUUUUUGGCCAUUUUUCCGCUGGGGAGUUUUGGGACCACGACCUUCGGGCGCUUAUUUUUGGGCGCGGCUGUGCCCGCGGCUUAUUUUUGGCGCCCCGAGGCCCCUCGCAAAGUCUCGCCCCAUUCCGAGUCCGGCGGACGAACUUCGCCCGCGCCCCCCACCAAGGCUAUAGCCCACCCAUUUUUUGGCCAUUUUUCCGCUGGGGGGUUUUGGCACCACGACCUUCGGGCGCUUAUUUUUGGGCGCGGCUGUGCCCGCGACUUCCCGCGGGCACCCUGAGGCCCCUCGCAAAGUCUCGCCCCAUUCCGAGUCCGGCGGACGAACUUCGCCCGCGCCCCCCACCAAGGCUAUAGCCCACCCGUUUUUUGGCCAUUUUUCCGCUGGGGGGUUUUGGCACCACGACCUUCGGGCGCUUAUUUUUGGGCGCGGCUGUGCCCGCUACUUCCCGCGGGCACCCCGAGGCCACUCGCAAAGUCUCGCCCCAUUCCGAGUCCGGCGGACGAACUUCGCCCGCGCCCCCCACCAAGGCUAUAGCCCACCCGUUUUUUGGCCAUUUUUCCGCUGGGGGGUUUUGGCACCACGACCUUCGGGCACUUAUUUUUGGGCGCGCUUUGCCCGCGGCUUAUUUUUGGCGCCGCGAGGCCCCUCGCAAAGUCUCGCCCCAUUCCGAGUCCGGCGGACGAACUUCGCCCGCGCCCCCCACCAAGGCUAUAGCCCACCCAUUUUUUGGCCAUUUUUCCGCUGGGGGGUUUUGGCACCACGACCUUCGGGCGCUUAUUUUUGGGCGCGGCUGUGCCCGCGACUUCCCGCGGGCACCCCGAGGCCACUCGCAAAGUCUAGCCCCAUUCCGAGUCCGGCGGACGAACUUCACCCGCGCCCCCCACCAAGGCUAUAGCCCACCCGUUUUUUGGCCAUUUUUCCGCUCGGGGGUUUUGGCACCACGACCUUCGGGCGCUUAUUUUUGGGCACGGCUUUGCCCGCGGCUUAUUUUUGGCGCCCCGAGGCCCCUCGCAAAGUCUCGCCCCAUUCCGAGUCCGGCGGACGAACUUCGCCCGCGCCCCCCACCAAGGCUAUAGCCCACCCGUUUUUUGGCCAUUUUCCGCUG